rnacentral:rRNA from 1 species
GACGAACGCUGGCGGCGUGCUUAACACAUGCAAGUCGUACGGUAAGGCCCUUUCGGGGGUACACAAGUGGCGAACGGGUGAGUAACACGUGAGUAACCUGCCCACAACUUUGGGAUAACGCUAGGAAACUGGUGCUAAUACUGGAUAUGUGCCCCUGCUGCAUGGUGGGGGUUGGAAAGCUCCGGCGGUUGUGGAUGGACUCGCGGCCUAUCAGCUUGUUGGUGGGGUAGUGGCCUACCAAGGCGGCGACGGGUAGCCGGCCUGAGAGGGUGACCGGCCACAUUGGGACUGAGAUACGGCCCAGACUCCUACGGGAGGCAGCAGUGGGGAAUAUUGCACAAUGGGCGCAAGCCUGAUGCAGCAACGCCGCGUGCGGGAUGACGGCCUUCGGGUUGUAAACCGCUUUCAGCAGGGACGAAGCUUUUUGUGACGGUACCUGCAGAAGAAGCACCGGCUAACUACGU